rnacentral:rRNA from 1 species
GUUAUAUGGUCAAGCGAAUAAGCGCAUACGGUGGAUGCCUUGGCAGCAAGAGGCGAUGAAGGACGUGGUAGCCUGCGAUAAGCCUCGGGGAGUCGGCAAACAGACUUUGAUCCGGGGAUUUCCGAAUGGGGAAACCCACCCCUUAUGGGGUAUCCGUAUCUGAAUCCAUAGGAUGCGGAGGCGAACCCGGGGAACUGAAACAUCUAAGUACCCGGAGGAAGAGAAAUCAACCGAGAUUCCGUCAGUAGCGGCGAGCGAACGCGGAACAGCCUGCAGUCUUUAGCACGCGUGUUAGUGGAACACUCUGGAAAGUGUGGCCGUAGUGGGUGAUAGCCCCGUACACGAAAGCGCGCGUGUGGAACUAGGUCUGCGAUAAGUAGGGCGGGGCACGAGAAACCUUGUCUGAAUAUGGGGGGACCAUCCUCCAAGGCUAAAUACUCCUUGCUGACCGAUAGUGAACCAGUACCGUGAGGGAAAGGCGAAAAGAACCCCGGAGAGGGGAGUGAAAUAGACCCUGAAACCGUAUGCGUACAAGCUGUGGGAGCCUGUCUUCGGACGGGUGACCGCGUACCUUUUGUAUAAUGGGUCAGCGACUUACUCUUGAUGGCAAGCUUAACCGACUAGGGGAGGCGUAGCGAAAGCGAGUCUUAAAUGGGCGCCUAGUCGUCAGGAGUAGACCCGAAACCGAGCGAUCUAUCCAUGGCCAGGGUGAAGGUGGGGUAAUGCCCACUGGAGGCCCGCACCGGGAUCUGUUGAAAAAGAUUCGGAUGAGCUGUGGAUCGGAGUGAAAGGCUAAUCAAGCUCGGAGAUAGCUGGUUCUCCCCGAAAGCUAUUUAGGUAGCGCCUCGUGUGAUCACUCCCGGGGGUAGAGCACUGUUUCGGCUAGGGGCCCAUCCCGGGUUACCAAACCGAUGCAAACUCCGAAUACCGGGAAGUGCAGCACGGGAGACAGACGGCGGGUGCUAACGUCCGUCGUCAAGAGGGAAACAACCCAGACCGCCAGCUAAGGUCCCCAAAUCAUGGCUCAGUGGGAAACGAUGUGGGAAGGCACAGACAGCCAGGAGGUUGGCUUAGAAGCAGCCAUCCUUUAAAGAAAGCGUAAUAGCUCACUGGUCGAGUCGGCCUGCGCGGAAGAUUUAACGGGGCUUAAGCCAUGUACCGAAGCUGCGGAUUUGCGCGCAAGCGCAAGUGGUAGGAGCGUUCCGUAGGCCGUUGAAGGUGGAUCGUAAGGUCUGCUGGAGGUAUCGGAAGUGCGAAUGCUGACAUGAGUAACGAUAAUGCGGGUGAAAAACCCGCACGCCGAAAGCCCAAGGUUUCCUGCGCAACGUUAAUCGGCGCAGGGUGAGUCGGCCCCUAAGGCGAGGCCGAAAGGCGUAGUCGAUGGGAAACAGGUUAAUAUUCCUGUACCGCGUAUUACUGCGAUGGGGGGACGAAGAAGGCUAGGUCAGCCGGGUGUUGGACGUCCCGGUUCAAGCGUGUAGGGAGUGGCUUUAGGAAAAUCCGGAGCCACAAUCCUGAGGCGUGAUGACGAGCUCCCUUGUGGAGCGAAGUGAUUGAUGCCCAGCUUCCAGGAAAAGCCUCUAAGCUUCAGGUAAUGCGUGACCGUACCCCAAACCGACACAGGUGGGCAGGGUGAGUAUCCCAAGGCGCUUGAGAGAACUCGGGUGAAGGAACUAGGCAAAAUAGCACCGUAACUUCGGGAGAAGGUGUGCCCCCCAUUACGUGAAGGCCCUGCGGCCGGAGCGGAAGGGGGUUGCAGUGACCAGGUGGCUGCGACUGUUUAUUAAAAACACAGCACUCUGCAAACUCGUAAGAGGACGUAUAGGGUGUGACGCCUGCCCGGUGCCGGAAGGUUAAGUGAUGGGGUUAGCUUCGGCGAAGCUCUUGAUCGAAGCCCCGGUAAACGGCGGCCGUAACUAUAACGGUCCUAAGGUAGCGAAAUUCCUUGUCGGGUAAGUUCCGACCUGCACGAAUGGCGUAACGAUGGCCACACUGUCUCCACCCCGAGACUCAGUGAAAUUGAAUUCGCUGUGAAGAUGCAGCGUACCCGCGGCAAGACGGAAAGACCCCGUGAACCUUUACUACAGCUUUACACUGAACUUCGAGUCUGCUUGUGUAGGAUAGGUGGGAGGCUUUGAAGCCGGGACGCCAGUUCCGGUGGAGCCACCCUUGAAAUACCACCCUGGCAUGCUUGAGGUUCUAACCCAGGUCCGUUAUCCGGAUCGGGGACAGUGUAUGGUGGGUAGUUUGACUGGGGCGGUCUCCUCCCAAAGCGUAACGGAGGAGCACGAAGGUACCCUCAGCACGGUCGGAAAUCGUGCGUUGCGUGCAAAGGCAUAAGGGUGCUUGACUGCGAGACAUACACGUCGAGCAGGUGCGAAAGCAGGUCUUAGUGAUCCGGUGGUUCUGUAUGGAAGGGCCAUCGCUCAACGGAUAAAAGGUACUCCGGGGAUAACAGGCUGAUUCCUCCCAAGAGUUCAUAUCGACGGGGGAGUUUGGCACCUCGAUGUCGGCUCAUCACAUCCUGGGGCUGUAGCCGGUCCCAAGGGUAUGGCUGUUCGCCAUUUAAAGUGGUACGCGAGCUGGGUUUAGAACGUCGUGAGACAGUUCGGUCCCUAUCUGCCGUGGGCGUUGGAGAUUUGAGAGGAGCUGCUCCUAGUACGAGAGGACCGGAGUGGACGUACCUCUGGUGUUCCGGUUGUCACGCCAGUGGCACUGCCGGGUAGCUAUGUACGGACGGGAUAACCGCUGAAAGCAUCUAAGCGGGAAGCCCCCCUCAAGAUGAGAUCUCCCUGGAGCCUCGAGCUCCCUGAAGGUCCGUCGUAGACCACGACGUUGAUAGGCGGGAUGUGGAAGUGCAGUAAUGCAUGUAGCUAACCCGUACUAAUUGACCGUGAGGCUUGACCAUAUAACACCCAAGUAUGUUGGG